GGUGAGUUAUAGCUGACCUUAAAGGUUCCAAGUUUAGAAUUCUCAAUUCAUGACAGGGCUGGUGGGAGACAGAAGGGUGGGCAGGGAAUAGAAGGAAGCAUAAAGGGACUUAAUCAGGGUUGGUUUAGGAGGACUGGAGAAUCCUGUCAAAUUCUGGAUGAUGUUACAGUUGCUUGUUCAAGAUCUACCCAGUGUCAGAGGAAGAGGGGUUAAUUCUCAUUCAGAGGAACGCAGACAAAAUCCAGCAAACUUUAUUGGACUUUUCCCAACUUGCCUCCUCAUUCUAGGUAAAGAAGUAACUUCUUUAUAUGUAUGUUCUGUAAAAGAUCCUCAAAGUAACCACUAACCAGAGGAAACAAGCCUGGGAUGGACACCCUUGUUACCUGCUAUUGGCAAGAAUAAAGCUACAAAAAAGUAACAGAAUGAAAAAGAAGAUCAAGAACUGUGGCUCUAGAUAAAGAAUUCAACAAGUCAGACUCUGAAACAGGCACUCCGAUGAAAUGGCCUAAACCUAACCCCAGGUUACCAUUGCCCCCACCCCCACCCUGUUAUUCCCAAAA